rnacentral:SRP_RNA from 1 species
GCCGGGCGUGGUGCCAAGUGCCUGGAGUCCCAGCUACUCCGGAGGCUGAGGUGGGAGGACCGCUUGAGUCCAGGAGUUCUGGGCUGCAGUGCGCUGUGCCGAUUGGGUGUCCGCACUAAGUUUGACAUCAAUAUGGUGACCUCCCGGGAUCGGGGGACCACCAGGUGGCCUGAGGAGGGGUGAACCCACCCAGGUCGGAAACAGAGCAGGUCAAAACUCUCAUGCUGAUAAGCUUGUGUUUCUGAUUUGCAUCACUCAAUAUUAUAUUUUCCAGAUGCCUCCAUUUUU